UGCCGCGUGUGUGAAGAAGGGCUUCGGAUUGUAAAGUUCUUUAAGUUGGGAAGAAGGGCAGUUGCCUAAUACGUAACUGUUUUGACGUUACCGACAGAAUAAGCACCGGUUAACUCUGGGCCAGCAGCCGCGGUAAU
rnacentral:rRNA from 1 species